rnacentral:rRNA from 1 species
AUUGAACGCUGGCGGCAUGCCUUACACAUGCAAGUCGAACGGUAACAGGUCUUCGGAUGCUGACGAGUGGCGAACGGGUGAGUAAUACAUCGGAACGUGCCCGAGAGGGGGGGAUAACGAGGCGAAAGCUUUGCUAAUACCGCAUACGAUCUCAGGAUGAAAGCAGGGGACCGCAAGGCCUUGCGCUCACGGAGCGGCCGAUGGCAGAUUAGGUAGUUGGUGGGAUAAAAGCUUACCAAGCCGACGAUCUGUAGCGGGUCUGAGAGGAAGACCAGCCGCAGGGGGACUGAGACACGGCCCAGACUCCUACGGGAGGCAGCAGUGAGGAAGUUUGGACAAUGGGCGCAAGCCUGAUCCAGCCAUGCCGCGUGCAGGAUGAAGGCCUUCGGGUUGUAAACUGCUUUUGUACGGAACGAAAAGACUCUGGUUAAUACCUGGGGUCCAUGACGGUACCGUAAGAAUAAGCACCGGCUAACUACGUGCCAGCCGCCGCGGUAACAC